UACGUAGGGUGCGAGCGUUAAUCGGAAUUACUGGGCGUAAAGUGUGCGCAGGCGGCCGAGCAAGUCGAGUGUGAAAGCCCCGAGCUUAACUUGGGAACUGCGCUCGAAACUACUUGGCUAGAGUGUGGCAGAGGGAGGUGGAAUUCCACGUGUAGCGGUGAAAUGCGUAGAGAUGUGGAGGAACACCGAUGGCGAAGGCAGCCUCCUGGGCCAACACUGACGCUCAUGCACGAAAGCGUGGGGAGCAAACAGG
rnacentral:rRNA from 2 species